rnacentral:lncRNA from 1 species
UUGGAGUUCCCAUCGUGGCACAGCGGUUAAUGAAUCCGACUAGGAACUGUGAGGUUGCGGGUUUGAUUCCUGGCCUUGCACAGUGGGUUAAGGAUCCGGCGUUGCUGUGAGCUGCAGUGUAGGUUGCAGCCGCAGCUCGGAUGCCGAGUUGCUGUGGCUGUGGUGUAGACUGGCAGCUACAGCUCCAAUUAGACCCCUAGCCUGGGAACCUCCAUGUGCUAGGACUUGUGUGGGGGAAAAGAUCAGGUUUUAAAAUAGAAACUCAUCCAUUAGCUAUGAGUGGGAAAAAACCUUUUAUCUGAUUUACUAAAUAGAAGGCUUAUUGCAAUUUGGAAUUGGCUUUUAUUUUUCUUUCUCAUGCUGGAGCCCAGCAGUGUGCAUUGCCUAGAGGAGGGAUAAAUAAACCCUUGCCUAGUGAACAAAAAAUUGAGUCAGUCUUGCUCCUUGUAUCCAACAGGUGGCAUUGUUGAUUUAUAAAUGGCUUUAGAACUGAUAAAGCAGCUAAGCAACUUCCACCAUCAGUUUUAUUGUUUUUGUUUUUUAAAUUACACCUAUUGUUCACAGCCUAGGGCAAACACAAACAGCACAAAUACCCCUCUUUUCAGAAGCACUUUGUUUUUGAGAAGAGAAAUAUGGCUGAUGAGUCAUUUCAAUGAUAGAGCAUUAGUAAAUGACAACAAAGAGCUAAUUUCCCCCAUUUUGAUGCCUCUGGAUGAACUGAGAAGGAAUUCUGUCUUCAAUUCUGUUAGACUUCAAUAAAACCAUGACUCAGACCAUUUGAAUUUAUACAUUUAUUCCCUGAAUCAUUUAUUUCUUGAAACAAUAGCUUUUACAGAAUUGCAGUUCUAUGCUUAUUAUACAAAGAUAGAAAAUGACAGAGCUACAAAAAGAAAAAUGAGACCCCAUCUUUAUUGCCCAGGAUUUUUACAAUCUAAUUACUAAGAUAAUAUACAUAUAAAUGCCACUAGUAACAAUCAGGGCAAGAUAAUUUUAUUUUGGGCCUAAUAGUCAAAAACUAACUUUUGGUAAGAAUUUACUGUGUGCUAGACACUGUUCUUAUCAUUUAUUUGAUACUCAUAUCAAUCCUAUGGAGUAGGUGCUUUUACUGUCCUCAUUGUAUAUAAGACCUGGGGGACUUAGGUGGCCACAUCAUGGCAAGUAGUGUGACUCCAUUUAUAAGAGCACCUGAUACUGAGUUCUCAUCAUAUGACUAGUGUUUAUGACCUUUGGAUGCAUUAUGUUAAUUUUCAUGUUAACAAUUUCAGCUAAGGAUCUUUAUGUUAUUUUUUUUCCUGCAGAAGUUUAACAGCCUUUCUUAACUAAACAUAAAUGCAUUUACCUCUCUGUUCCUUAAAAAUAAAUAGAGAUUUAAGUAAAUGCGAAUUUGUUAAUUUAACUUCAAACAUGACUAAGCUCCAGAAUGCCAGUAGUUUACUAAACAUCAUGAGAGUGUCCAUAUUUUCCCAUAAGGUAAUAAGUUCCAUUCCAGCAUUAUAGUAGAAAUUUAAAAUAUGUAUUUGAAAAUCUUCAUUGCCUCCUCUUCAGAUAAAAAGCCUGUUUUCAGCUCUGGGAAGAGUGGCCAAGUGACUAAUUAAGAUUACAGAAAUUUCAUCCAUUUUAAUUCACUAGUAUACCAUAAAGUCUUUAAAAGAGAGGCAGUACAUAUAUACAUAUGCUAAUCUUUUUCUAUCUUCAAGAAAAAAAACUCAUAAACUCUAGCAAUCUAUAGCCUUUCCUUCAAUCAAGGAAAAAAAAAAAAAAAAAAGGAAUGAAGAGUAAGUGUUGAGG